UACAGAGGUGCCGAGCGUUAGGCGGAAUCACUGGGCUUAAAGCGUGUGUAGGCGGACUUCUAAGUACCUUGUGAAAUCCCACGGCUCACCCGUGGAACUGCUGGGUAUACUGGUCGUCUUGAGCCACCUAGGGGCGAGCGGAACAAAUGGUGGAGCGGUGAAAUGCGUAGAUAUCGUUUGGAACGCCAAUGGUGAAAACAGGUUGCUGGGAGUGUGCUGACGCUGAGACACGAAAGCCAGGGGAGCAAACGGG
rnacentral:rRNA from 1 species